GAUGAACGCUGGCGGCGUGCCUAAUACAUGCAAGUCGAGCGAACGGGCGAGAAGCUUGCUUCUCUGAUGUUAGCGGCGGACGGGUGAGUAACACGUGGAUAACCUACCUAUAAGACUGGGAUAACUUCGGGAAACCGGAGCUAAUACCGGAUGAUAUUUUGAACCGCAUGGUUCAAAAGUGAAAGACGGUCUUGCUGUCACUUAUAGAUGGAUCCGCGCUGCAUUAGCUAGUUGGUAAGGUAACGGCUUACCAAGGCAACGAUGCAUAGACGACCUGAGAGGGUGAUCGGCCACACUGGAACUGAGACACGGUCCAGACUCCUACGGGAGGCAGCAGUAGGGAAUCUUCCGCAAUGGGCGAAAGCCUGACGGAGCAACGCCGCGUGAGUGAUGAAGGUCUUCGGAUCGUAAAACUCUGUUAUUAGGGAAGAACAUAUGUGUAAGUAACUGUGCACAUCUUGACGGUACCUAAUCAGAAAGCAACGGCUAACUACGUG
rnacentral:rRNA from 1 species